GAUGAAGAACGUAGUGAAAUGCGAUACUUGGUGUGUAUUGCAGAAUCCCGUGAACCAUCGAGUCUUUGAACGCAAGUUGCGCCUCAAGCCAUUAGGUUGAGGGCACGUCUGCCUGGGCGUCACAUAUCGUUGCCUGAUGCCAGUUUCCUCGUGAUGGGUGACUGUGCAGGGCGAAUGAUGGCUUCCCGUGAGCAUUGUUGCCUCAUGGUUGGUUGAAAAUUGAGUCCUUGGUAGGGAGCGCCGUGAUAGAUGGUGGGUGAGUGACGAACGAGACCCAAUCAUGUGAGACCCCUACCGAAUUUGGCCUUCAUGACCCACAUGCGUCUUUGGAACGCUCAUGACGAGACCUCAGGUCAGGCGGGGCUACCCGCUGAGUUUAAGCAUAUCAAUAAGCGGAGGA
rnacentral:misc_RNA from 1 species